AGUGAACGCUGGCGGUAGGCCUAACACAUGCAAGUCGAACGGCAGCACAGUAAGAGCUUGCUCUUACGGGUGGCGAGUGGCGGACGGGUGAGGAAUACAUCGGAAUCUACUUUUUCGUGGGGGAUAACGUAGGGAAACUUACGCUAAUACCGCAUACGACCUACGGGUGAAAGCAGGGGAUCUUCGGACCUUGCGCGAUUGAAUGAGCCGAUGUCGGAUUAGCUAGUUGGCGGGGUAAAGGCCCACCAAGGCGACGAUCCGUAGCUGGUCUGAGAGGAUGAUCAGCCACACUGGAACUGAGACACGGUCCAGACUCCUACGGGAGGCAGAAGUGGGGAAUAUUGGACAAUGUGCGCAAGCCUGAUCCAGCCAUACCGCGUGGGUGAAGAAGGCCUUCGGGUUGUAAAGCCCUUUUGUUGGGAAAGAAAAGCAGCAGGUUAAUACCCCGCUGUUCUGACGGUACCCAAAGAAUAAGCACCGGCUAACUUCGUG
rnacentral:rRNA from 1 species